CUGGCUCAGAUUGAACGCUGGCGGCGUGCUAACACAUGCAAGUCGCGCGUGAAAGGACUUGGUCCGAGUAAAGCGGCGCACGGGUGAGUAACGCGUGGAUGAUCUACCCAUGAGUUAGGAAUAACGGCUGGAAACGGUCGCUAAUACCAAAUACGCUCCGAUUUCAACUUCGGGGGGAAAGGUGGCCUCUGCUUGCAAGCUACUGCUCAUGGAUGAGUCCGCGUCCCAUUAGCUAGUUGGUGGGGUAACGGCCCACCAAGGCGACGAUGGGUAGCCGGUCUGAGAGGAUGACCGGCCACACUGGGACUGGAACACGGCCCAGACUCCUACGGGAGGCAGCAGUGGGGAAUAUUGCGCAAUGGGCGAAAGCCUGACGCAGCGACGCCGCGUGAGGGAUGAAAGGGUCUUCGGAUCGUAAACCUCUGUCAGGAGGGAAGAACCGCCACGGUGCUAAUCAGCCGUGGUCUGACGGUACCUCCAAAGGAAGCACCGGCUAACUCCGUGCCAGCAGCUGC
rnacentral:rRNA from 1 species